UUGUGAUGAGACCUAAACUGAAAUAGCUGGAAUUACCGGCAGAUUGUUCAGUGGUGACCCUCGGUUUUCUGAAC
rnacentral:snoRNA from 1 species